rnacentral:misc_RNA from 1 species
GAUGAAGAACGUAGCAAAAUGCGAUAAGUAAUGUGAAUUGCAGAAUUCAGUGAAUCAUCGAAUCUUUGAACGCACAUUGCGCCCGCCAGUAUUCUGGCGGGCAUGCCUGUUCGAGCGUCAUUUCAACCCUCAAGCCCUCGGGUUUGGUGUUGGGGAUCGGCGAGCCUUUCUGGCAAGCCGGCCCCGAAAUCUAGUGGCGGUCCCGCUGCAGCCUCCUCUGCGUAGUAGUUUUCUCCUCGCAAGGGCAGCUCGGUGGCGACCUCGCCGUAAAACCCCCAACUUCUGAAAGGUUGACCUCGAAUCAGGUAGGAAUACCCGCUGAACUUAAGCAUAUCAAUAAGCGGAGGA